GACGAACGCUGGCGGCGCGCUUAACACAUGCAAGUCGAGCGAAGCGGCGGACGGGUGAGUAACACGUGAGUAACCUGCCUUAGACAUUGGGAUAGCCCCGGGAAACCGGGAUUAAUACCAAAUGGUCUAAGAUGGACUCGAGUCCCCUCAGGUAGUUGGUGAGGUAACGGCCCACCAAGGCGACGAUGGGGAGCCGGCCUGAGAGGGUGAACGGCCACAUUUGAACUGAUAAACGGUCCAAACUCUACGGGAGGCAGCAGUGGGGAAUAUUGCACAAUGGAGGUAACUCUGAUGCAGCGACGCCGCGUGAACGAAGAAGGCUUUCGAGUCGUAAAGUUCUGUUAUAUGGGACGCGGUACCAUAAGAAAAAGCCCCGGCUAACUACGUGCCAACAGCCGCGGUAAUUC
rnacentral:rRNA from 1 species